rnacentral:lncRNA from 1 species
CUUGAAACAAGUUCCACUGCUUGUUUUCAUUGUUCCCCUCUAACCAGGGACUUCCUUAGACCUGGCACACCAGGUGGGUGCUAUUCAGUAUUAAGUAGAACAGAAAACCAGCAAGCUCUGGACCUCACAGGGUAAGAUUUGAAUACCCCUGAUCAAGAACAUGCUGCACCAGCAGGUCACCAGCACCAGCUUGAAAUGUAGGUUGGUCAAUGCUGUUUUUUUCAGCAGAUCUCUUGGACGAAGACAUGGAAAAGGCUUUGUUUAUGGCGCGUCAAAUUAGCACCCGGCAGAUUCCUGCUACAAAGAACCAGGCAACCGAAAAAGCCUGGAGACAGGCUGAUUGGUGCUGCGAGCCCUACACAGUAUGGUGUCUCGAGCAUGGCUGUAUGUGGGCUCUGGGUCUACCGAACGAACGCCUCUGCCAGUCUGUCUGGAUGUAAACUGUAUUUAAUGGUGUAUGAACAUCAAAGCGAUGGGGGUGGCAUUCAAAAUAAACACAUUUCAUUUAAUGCAGUUCGAUGGAAUUUUAUGAUGAAAGUGAUGAACAUCUCUCACUUCUGG